rnacentral:misc_RNA from 1 species
AACGCACAUUGCGCCCAUUAGUAUUCUAGUGGGCAUGCCUAUUCGAGCGUCAUUUCGACCCCUAAGCCCCUGUUGCUUAGCGUUGGGAAUCUACGGCGUAGUUCCUUAAAGUUAGUGGCGGAGUUAGGGUACACUCUCAGCGUAGUAAUAUCUCUCGCUCGUGUGGUGGCCCUGGCUGCUAGCCGUUAAAACCCCUAUAUCUUUUAGUGGUUGACCUCGAAUUAGGUAAGAAUACCCGCUGAACUUAA